rnacentral:rRNA from 1 species
CCCUUAGAUGUUCUGGGCCGCACGCGCGCUACACUGAUGCAAUCAACAAGCCUAGCCUUGACCGAGAGGUCCGGGUAAUCUUUGAAACUGCAUCGUGAUGGGGCUAGAUUAUUGCAAUUAUUAAUCUUCAACGAGGAAUGCCUAGUAAGCGUGAUUCAUCAAAUCGCGUUGAUUACGUCCCUGCCCUUUGUACACACCGCCCGUCGCUCCUACCGAUUGAAUGUGUUGGUGAGGAGCUCGGAUUGGCAGCAGUUGGUGGUUCGCCACCGGCUAUUGCUGAGAAGUCCUCCAAACCGCCCCAUUUAGAGGAAGGAGAAGUCGUAACA